rnacentral:lncRNA from 1 species
GUACAGUAGUCUCACAGACGAGUAUUUUGCACCUAGAGCAGUUCCCAGAAAGUGUUUUCCCCUCUGUUAAGGGGCCUAAGUUUGAUCCGUGGGUGCAACCAUCCAAAGCAAAGCUCACGAGCACCAUGAGCUUCCUGCUCUGCAUGAAACCUGGCAGGUAUCAAGUGCUUACUGCAGUUUGUCAUGGUGAGAGGUUUGUUGCUCAAGCUUCACACUGCAAAGCUUCUGAGAUUGUUACAUGUUGAUUAAGUAAUCCUUUCACCUGCCCACCCAACUCCCCACCACGUUGUGUUUCCCUUGCCAUGAGACACAGUCUGUCAGACCACCAUUAAGGUUGUUUGCAACCUGUCCCCAAAGACUUACCUUGUAGCUGAGGGUUUCCCUUUGCCUUUGCCUUCUGCUCAUCCUUGGCAGCUGCUCCUUCCCUGUGGUGUUGACCGAGCUCAGCUCCUGCCAUGGUGCCUGGCUCUGUCUGUCCUUGUGUGAGGAGCAAGGUGCCCAACCUUGGGGACACAGCUCCUGAGCCCCAAAAUGGUCUACCCUAAAUAGGCAGGGGCCAUUCUUCACCACUCUGAUGCCUCCAAGUCUGAGGGGGUUUGCUGCAUACACAAAUACUUGGAAGGGACAACCUGGCUGCAGGUUUUAAACAGUAAAGAGUUUGGGUGCCAAAAUGGUGAAAGAGUGUCUCUUGCUGGCUCAUGUAAGAUGAAAAUUUCUGCAGCAGCACCUCUGAGCAUGCUGUCACCUCACAGCACUGUGUCACCUCACGGCAUCACCUCACGACAUUGUGUCACCUCAUGACAUCACCUCACAGCGCUGUGUCACCUCAUGGCGUCACCUCACAGCACUGUGUCACCUCAUAGCAUUGUGUCACCUCAUGGCAUCACCUCAUGGCAUUGUAUCACCGCACAGCACUGCAUCGCCUCAUGGCGUCACCUCACAGCACGGUGUUACCUCAUGACAUCACCUCACGACAUUGUGUCACCUCAUGGUGUCACCUCAAAGCACUGUGUCACCUCAUGGCAUCACCUCACAGCAUUGUUACCUCAUGGCAUCACCUCAUGGCAUUGUAUCACCUCACAGCACUGUGUAGCCUCAUGGCGUCGCCUCACGACAUUGUGUCACCUCAUGGCGUCACCUCCCAGCAUUGUUACCUCAUGGUGUCACCUCCCAGCACUGUUACCUCAUGCCGUUACCUCCCAGCACUGUGUCACCUCCCAGCACGGCUCCACAGCCCGGCACACCCCGCAGCACCCACCCCGUCCCCCUCACGCCAUGGCCUUGUCCUGGCGGCACCGCGUGGCCUGGGGCCCCGCCACCCCCUCAGGCAGGGAGCCGCGCUGAGGCUGCCGCAGGGGGGUUUGGGGACAGGCCCCGCCACCUACCUGCUCUGAGGGACAUCCUGAGACGUCGUUGAGGGUUGAUGUUAUUUCCGCGGGUCAAUCCCUGAGUGAAAUGAGUGAAAAUCGCAGGGUUUUGCCUCCGUUUUAGCCUCCGCUGGGGCCAGCCCCGCGCCCUGCCCUCAGCCCCGGCCGCCGCGCUGAGGGGAGGGGGGCGCGAGGCGUCGCCGUGAGGUGGCCGCCGGUCGCCAGGAGUCUGCCACGGGGUCUGCUGCUGAUCACAGGAAAAAAAGCAGCUGUGGAGCAGCUCUGUCUCCUCAGGAGGAGGAGGAGGAUUUUUUGUGUGGUAAAUUCUCAAAAGAAACAUUUUUUUUUUUUGCUUCGGAGGACAUGACGGGGCCACUGCAGCCCCUGCCGCUGCCCCUGCUGGGAGAGGCCCCCCGGGUGCCAGUGUCCCCGCAGGGCAUGGCCCAUCCCGCGGCCCCGGCUCAUGCCGCAGGUAAAACACUAGAUGGAGCAUGCAACAUUUUUAAUACUUUUUUUUCCUUUUUUUUUUUUUUUCUUUUAAAUAAUCCUGUAAAGGACAAAUUGAAAAAGCUAACUGAAAGCACAGCUGAAGCCACCACCAGCCGGCCUCAUGUCCUGGGGACAGCCCCUGCACGGGCAGCAGUGACUGCUCCUCUGCCCUGCUGCCCCCUGCGCCGCCCGGCCUCGCUGUGGCCAAACUCCAGUGGCCCCAGCUCCAGGUGCACAUGAAGGGGAGGUGCCAUGUCCCCUGCAGGUGCUGUUAGCACCGACCUCUUCCUCAGCUCCACCACCUGUGUGACUCGAG